GACGUAGGGCGCGAGCGUUGUCCGGAUUUAUUGGGCGUAAAGAGCUCGUAGGCGGCUUGUCGCGUCAACUGUGAAAACCCGUGGCUCAACCAUGUGGUCUGCAGUCGAUACGGCAGGCUAGAAUUCGGUAGGGGAGACUGGAAUUCCUGGUGUAGCGGUGAAAUGCGCAGAUAUCAGGAGGAACACCGGUGGCGAAGGCGGGUCUCUGGGCCGAUAUUGACGCUGAGGAGCGAAAGCGUGGGGACGAACAGG
rnacentral:rRNA from 1 species